UGAGUGCACAGUAUAUUUUGGACAAACGAAAAUAAGUAUAAUGAUAGCGAUGACAGAUCCGUCGAACUAAAAAAUGCUGAUGAAGAAUUAGAAGUACGGAUGCAACGCAGGCUGAUUGAAUCGUAACAAAAUUGUAUAGGCUUUCUUUGAUCCUAACCUAACCCAAUCUUCGAGUUGGAUCCAACGGAGAUGGGGUCGGGUUGAGUCUGGUCGAAUUGGAUUGGUUACUUAGUUUAUAGUUUGAUGGUCAUGACCCUCAUAAAUUUUUGCCUUAUUAAAAAAUAUAGGUAAUUCCAAUUCAACCUAGCACAAUUGGCUAAGAACUUAAUGGUUUGUAUACCGAGAUUCCAAGUUCGAAACCUAAAAUCUGUACAUUUCGAGCUGAGUUCAUUUCUUAAAAAAAUAAAUGAAGCAGCUAGCUUGAUACCCUUUUGUGAAGAAAAAAAAAAGAAAAUUAAAUAUUGUUAUUGAUUU
rnacentral:lncRNA from 1 species